rnacentral:lncRNA from 1 species
UCUGCGGGAGUUCUGUGUGCUUCAGUUAUGAAACUUAUCUUUCUGCCGAAGGGCUUCUGACAUUUCUUUGUGGGCAUUAUGGGUGUUUAUGAAACUGUUCAAAUUUUAUAUUUAUUUCUUGGUUUCAUUUUUUUUCUCACUUUUCAGAUAUUUAGAGUUUAUAAACCACAACUUAAAGUGGCCAAGCCAUGGGAUUUAAAAUUUUCAAAAAUGGCUUUUUUUUCUCCUUUCCCAUAGAUUUAUGAAGCAUUCAUUUUUUUUGAACUUUGUGCUGGGUAGACGUUUCCAAGCUUUGCUCCUUAUCACCUACCCAAUGGCUGUGCCUUCUAUUCUAGUGUGCUUGUCAGAGAUCCAGCCUCAGCAGUUAGGACAUGUAUCUGAGACUAGGUAACCAUGGACUGCCCUGAUAUCAAUUUGUACUUAUGUCUUUAAUUUCUUAUUACUUACUUGUUUACUGUCCAGACUACCUAUGUGUGUAUAUAUAUAUAUACACAUUUUUUUUUAAAUAAUUAUGUGUGGAUUCUAGUGUGAUAUAGGAGUGGAGAGGAGAAAAGUCCAACAUAGUUUAGUUUUUUAUAUUGCUAGAGGCAUCAAAGAGUUUUUGGUAUGUAAAUCUCUAAAUCUCUCAUUUACUUGAACAAAGCUUUUAAACACUUUAGUGAUUAUAUUUGACUACUGUAAAAGUAGUCCACUAGAAUAAAGCACUUUUGAGAGCAGAAACCAAGGCUUAUUUAAAUUUGUACCCAAAUAAUAUUUUAAUCAUAUGUAUGGCUAAAUAGUAUUUGUUGAAAUAAAAUUUAUGUAAAAUACAUGUAGAUUUAUAUUCUGAAAUAAAAUGUCUUCUGGAAAGAACAUAGAUAAAUUUCCUAACAUUCCUAUGAAAAAAAUUUUUCCAUGUCUGUCAUAAGUUCUUACUUAAUUAAAAAGACCUGAGAUGCUUUAAAAUAAAAACAUACCAUAAGUGAUUAUUUGCAAAUGUUGAAUGUGCUUUUCUUCACGCUAGGUAAUUGAAUAAAAUCUUUAAGAUAUUUAACUUGGCAAUGCCUCAAGUAAAACAGUGACUUUCAGUAAACCGGUAAAAUAGUUCUGGCUACUAGAGAAAUAUGUUUCCAUUUAUUAUAAAGACAAAUUCUAACUUACCAAUUGUAAAGCAACAGUUUUUUUUUUUUUUUCUUUUUAAGAAAAUAAUUCAUUCCUUCAAAGUGAUAGAAACUGUUGAGUAUUACUAGGAGAGAUUAUGGGAAAUUUUGUUAAUUGAAAUUGUUUUUAUUUUAUUUUUUAUAUAUCAUAUCAGAUAGACUCUCCUUGUCUGAAUUGCAAUCAAGUAAUAAUUCAUCAGAUACCAGCAAUUUCCUUAAGGCAGGUAGCAAUAUAAAAAAGAAAUACAUUCUCAUUUUGAAAGAGUUUGACCUUUUAUUAAAUCUGUAAAGGCAAAAGGGAGUUAAACACUGUCAUAUUUCACAGCUCCCAAUUAAGAAAGCUUUAAUUAUUAUUAUAGAACAAACUGAGUCAAUUAGGUUUUUGGACCUUAUAUUUCAUCAUCCUUAGCAAUCCUCUCAGCCUACUGUUCAAGUCCUGAGCUGUGGCUCUCUAUAACACUCUUAGCAUUUGAUUUAGUUUACAAAGAGAAAUGAACUAUAGCCAUCUCCUAGACAGUGAAAUUGCAUUGCAACGUGCUUAAGUAGUCUACGACUAGAAGGAAAACAAACAAACAAAUACGAAAACCAAAAACCUUAAGCCUCUUAAUAUCUUCCACCAUCUUCAUAAACAUACAGGUGAAAAAGAACUGGGAGACCAAAAACAAAAACAGAAACAAACCAUCACUAAAUCAUAAAAAUAUAGCUCUGCUCUAUGUGCUGGAAAUCUAAUCUCUUAAAAAAAUUAUUUCCGUGUAUUUUAUACAAUUUGUGUUAUAUACUACCUCAUACCUUAAACACGUACAUUUUAAAAAACAAUAAAAAUUUAAAAGGAAGAAGUUGUGAUAUAUGUAUUUGAGUCAGCAGUAUUAAUUUUUAGCACUUAAGAUGUUAUUUUAAAAUAAUGUGGUUUUUAUAGGCUUCAUUUUUCAUUUUAGGUGAUCUAUUCUACCUUCUCUUUUCUUCUCAACUGGCAUAAUAGUAGAUUAUGGUCAAUAAUUUAUAUCAUGUUUUAAUGUUUAACUUAGUGGAGAAAAUAAUUGCUAAUUUUUAAUACCACUAGUAGCUAGUUAGAAACAGCUGUUUUUAUUCAGUGACCAGCUAUUCAUUAAAGUGGUGGUUCUCAGAAAUUUGCAUCACCUGGUGGGUUUGUUAAACCAGAGAUUGUGGGCCCCAGUCCCAAAGUGUCUGAUUCAGUAGAUCUAGGUUGGAAUGAGAAAGUUAUCAUUCUUAAGAAGUUCCCUGGUGAUGUUCUUGCUGCUGGUUCAGCGAUGACAGAUUAAGAACCACUGCUAGAAAGAAUAGUUGUUCCACUUAUAUCUGGAAAAAAUUAUCUUGGGAAGCUGUGAAAUAUACAGAUCCCAGUGUCUGCUGUCUACAUAUCAAGGUUCAAUAGGAUCCUGAAUAAUUAGAACUACAGUUUAACUUCCUCACAUUACUCCAAGACCAACUUAGUAUGUAUUUCCACUUAUGAUUUAUUCAGCAAAUAUUCACCUAGGUUCAACUAUAUACCAAGGACCAUUCCAGACCCCGGAGAUAUCCUAUUUAACAGGACAGACAUGCUCCCUUACAUGCUGGCAUGUUAGGAUAGGGUGGACAAGGAGACAGUCAUGUUUGCUUUUAGUAGCAAAUGUUGUAAACCCUACCUGUCCCUAAAAUAUCCAUCUAUAUGCUAGAAUAUUAUGUACCAGUUAAGUUAUAUAUCUAUACAUGUUGAUGUGGAAACAUCAAGACAUAGUGUUGAGUGGAAAAAAGCAAGUUCCAGAUGAGCAUGAAAAGAAUAAUAUGUGUAAAAUCAAAGUCAAAACUAUGUAUUUCUGUGAGUAUAUUUAUAUCCAUAAAGAGUGUGAAAAACAAAAUAUAACAAGUGUGUGUACUGGUAUUGAAAAUAUUGAUUUUUCUGUUCUUUCAUUAAAAGAAAAAUAUUCAUAUGCUUUUAUGAAACUAAAAAGUAUUACAAAGUAGUGGGUGAGACAAUAGAAAAUUGGGCAAAAUGCUCUCCCUCAUAAAAAAUUUAAAAUGACAAAAUGACUAACAACCACAUUAGUCAUCAAUAAAAUGCAUAUUAAAAUAUCCGUAAGAUACUUAUUUAGACAUAGUAUAAAUGCAUGGGGGAAAAAAGUACAAGCUUUGCUUGCCUGGUUCAAAAAUGAUUACAUAGGGAAUGUCAGACCAGGAUUUUCAAGAAGAUCUUAACCAGUCCUUUCUACUCACUACACAGAAACAGACUGACAGAAACCACUUAAACAAGUCCAUUGCCUUCAGAGUCUGUAUUUUGCUUACUAAAGGAUAUUUCAGGGGAUGCUCCUGUGGAAUUAGUCUCAAAACCAGUUCUUUAUAUUUUCCAGUACCUACUUUUUACUUUCAACCAUGACUUGCUCUCUUGUACUCCUACCAUAUAGCUUUUCUAAAGAACGAUAGCUCGAUAAGAAACUUUUUCCGGCUUGUGACAUGUAAUUCUCAUCAAUGAUUUCAACCCAUUCUCUCUGUGUACCAUUUCUGAUAAUUCAGUAAAGAAUGCCCUGUUUGAAAUGGCUUCUAAGAAACAAGAGAUAUUAUUCAUCUCUUGUCAUUCCCCUUAUACUGGAAUCUAUAAUUAAGACUGAGAUAGGUAUAUAGAGAUGAAAAUACUGAUAAAUCUGAUAAAGAUAAUAGAAAUUUUUAGAUCUGGACAAAGCUGCCUUGCUAAUAUUUCACCCCAAAGUUAGAUUUAUGCCCACAGACAUUGCUGCAGCUGGAAAAUUGAACUUAAAGCAAGAGAGCUUGCCAUAACAUUUAUGGCAUGGCCAGAAAGAAGACCGGAAUUCAACCUCCUGUGAAUGGGCCAGUCACCAGAAAGAUAAGUUCCAAUUAGCUGUGCUUGAGGAUCUAAGUUUCAAUCUUUCAGAUCUUCCCAUCUUUAAAGACAUUCUUCCCCUACUGAGGAGUGAAUUAGGAAAAAAGAGCUAGAAGAGAUACCUUAUAGCACAGCUUAAUAUUUCUCUAACUUCAGGGAGCACCAAAAUCGCAUGGAGACCUUGUUAAAACACACACUGUUAGGUUCAGACACUAAAGUGGCGGGUCUUAGCCUAAGAAAGUCUAAAAGGUUCACAAGUGGAUACUGAUGCUUCUAGUUAUCAAAAUUGAAGAACCUUAGUAAUAGUGCAUUAGAAUCAUCUGGGAGAUCUUUUAGAAAAUACUCAUGUUUCACUGCCAUGCAAACCAAUUAAAUAUGCCUCUGAAGGUGUGGCCUCAGUCACUGUGAGUUGAUAAAUUCUUUCUAGGUGAUUCUAAUAUUCAAGUAGUGUUAUUCAUGGUAUCUUGAAGUAGUUGUAUUUAGAUGCUGGCUACUGUAGAAAUUUAAGUUUUCUCUUAAUUUGUCUCUUAAUUUUCUUUUAAAUUUUAAACUCUCAUAACUUAGUCACUGAAGAUAUAUAUUUCUGAAUACUCAGAAAAGAAAAUACAAGUUUGUAGCCAUAUAUUAUUAUUUUUUAAAAUAUUUUUGGUAUAUGGGGACAUUGCAAAAUGGCAAUAAUGUUUUUCCCUUAUUUAAAGAAUGAUCAUUUCUCAUAUUUACAUAGGAGAUAAAUUGACCUUUAUACUGGUGUAUUUACUGUGCACAUUUUCUUUAAAAAUUAAAAAUUUGGAGUUCCCGUUGUGGCACCAUGGAAACGAAUCUGACUAGGAACCAUGAGGUUGCAGGUUAGAUCCAUCGCCUCGCUCAGUGGGUUAAGGAUCCAGUGUUGCUGUAAGCUAUGGUGUAGGUCACAGAUGCGGCUCGAAUCUGUUGUUGCUGUGGCUGGCAGCAAUAGCUCCUGUUAGACCCCUAGCCUGGGAACCUCUACAUGUCACAGGUGCAGCC